GUUUACAGCUAUACCAUCCUGAACACACCCGAUAUCGCCUGAUCUUGGAAACUAAGCAGGGUCGGGCCUGGUUAGUACUUGGGUAGGAGAAUUAAAAGGGAAUCCAGUUUGUACAGC
ensembl:rRNA 5S_rRNA 5S ribosomal RNA